rnacentral:rRNA from 1 species
ACGGGGUGCAGCAGGCGCGAAACCUCCACAAUGCGCGAAAGCGUGAUGGGGUUAUCCCGAGUGCCGUCCGAUGAGGAUGGCUUUUCAUCGGUGUAAGGAUCCGAUGGAAUAAAGGGGGGGCAAGACUGGUGUCAGCCGCCGCGGUAAUACCAGCCCCCUGAGUGGUAGGGACGAUUAUUUGGCCUAAAGCGUUCGUAGCCGGCUUAUCAAGUCUUUUGUUAAAUCCAGCGAUUCAAUCGUUGGGCCGCAAAAGAUACUGUUAUGCUAGAGGACGGGAGAGGUCGACGGUAGUCCAGGGGUAGGGGUGAAAUCCUAUAAUCCUUGGAGGACCACCAGUGGCGAAGGCGGUCGACUAGAACGUGCCUGACGGUGAGGGACGAAAGCUGGGGGAGCGAACCGGAUUAGAUACCCGGGUAGUCCCAGCCGUAAACGAUGCGGGCUAGGUGUUGGGGCAGCCACGAGCUGCUCCAGUGCCGCAGAGAAGUUGUUAAGCCCGCCGCCUGGGAGUACGCCGCAAGGC